rnacentral:rRNA from 1 species
AGAACUUAGCAGAGAUGCUUUGGUGCCUUCGGGAACUCUGAGACAGGUGCUGCAUGGCUGUCGUCAGCUCGUGUUGUGAAAUGUUGGGUUAAGUCCCGCAACGAGCGCAACCCUUAUCCUUUGUUGCCAGCGGGUUAUGCCGGGAACUCAAAGGAGACUGCCAGUGAUAAACUGGAGGAAGUGGGGAUGACGUCAAGUCAUCAUGGCCCUUACGAGUAGGGCUACACACGUGCUACAAUGGCGCAUACAAAGAGAAGCGACCUCGCGAGAGCAAGCGGACCUCAUAAAGUGCGUCGUAGUCCGGAUUGGAGUCUGCAACUCGACUCCAUGAAGUCGGAAUCGCUAGUAAUCGUAGAUCAGAAUGCUACGGUGAAUACGUUCCCGGGCCUUGUACACACCGCCCGUCACACCAUGGGAGUGGGUUGCAAAAGAAGUAGGUAGCUUAACCUUCGGGAGGGCGCUUACCACUUUGUGAUUCAUGACUGGGGUGAAGUCGUAACAAGGUAAGCGUAGUGCU